rnacentral:rRNA from 1 species
GAUGAACGCUAGCGGGAGGCUUAACACAUGCAAGUCGAGGGGUAGGGAAGCAAUUCCUGAGACCGGCGGACGGGUGCGUAACGCGUAUGCAACCUGCCUUAUACAGGGGGAUAGCCCAUGGAAACGUGGAUUAACACCCCAUCGGAUUACGGGAUCGCCUGAUUUUGUGAUUAAAACUGAGGUGGUAUAAGAUGGGCAUGCGUCUAUUUAGGUAGUUGGUAGGGUAAUGGCCUACCAAGCCGACGAUCAGUAGGGGUUCUGAGAGGAUUACCCCCCACACGUGUACCACGACACGGACCAGACUACUACGGGAGGCACAUGAGAGGAAUAUUGGUCAAUGGCCGCAAGGCUGAACCAGCCAUCCCGCGUGCAGGAUGACGGCCCUAUGGGUUGUACAGGCCUUUUGUACCUGAAGAAUAGGAAAAACGAGUUGGGAUUUGCCGGUAAGGUAUGAAUAAGCAUCGGCUAACUCCGUGCCAGCCGCCGCGGUAAGAC